AUGAAUGCUGGCGGCGUGUCUAAGGCAUGCAAGUCGAACGGAUUAUGUUAGGUAGCAAUACUUGACAUGGUCAGUGGCAAACGGGUGCGUAACACAUUGGUAACCUGCCUCGUAGUCGGGCAUAACUCGCCGAAAGGUGAACUAAUUCCACGAUGGUGUUCGGUGUUAAAACCGUACUAAAGUCGCAAGACGCUACGAGAGGGGCCUAUGGCCUAUCAGCUAGUUGGUGAGGUAAUGGCUCACCAAGGCUAUGACGGGUAGGGGAUGUGAGAGCAUGAUCCCCCUCACUGGGACUGAGACACUGCCCAGACACCUACGGGUGGCUGCAGUCGAGAAUAUUCCCCAAUGGGCGAAAGCCUGAGGGAGCGACGCCGCGUGUGCGAUGAAGGCCUUCGGGUCGUAAAGCACUUUUGCCGAGGAAGAAUCAUGACAGUACUCGGAGAAUAAGAGGUUGCUAACUCUGU
rnacentral:rRNA from 1 species